rnacentral:rRNA from 1 species
GAUGAACGCUAGCGGCAGGCCUAACACAUGCAAGUCGAGGGGUAACAGGAAAAGCUUGCUUUUCGCUGACGACCGGCGGACGGGUGAGUAACGCGUAUACAAUCUACCUUUUGCUAAGGGAUAGCCCAGAGAAAUUUGGAUUAAUACCUUAUAGUAUAUAGCUACGGCAUCGUAAUUAUAUUAAAGGUUACGGCAUAAGAUGAGUAUGCGUCCUAUUAGCUAGUAGGUGUGGUAACGGCACACCUAGGCAACGAUAGGUAGGGGCCCUGAGAGGGGGAUCCCCCACACUGGUACUGAGACACGGACCAGACUCCUACGGGAGGCAGCAGUGAGGAAUAUUGGGCAAUGGACGGAAGUCUGACCCAGCCAUGCCGCGUGCAGGAAGACUGCCCUAUGGGUUGUAAACUGCUUUUAUACAGGAAGAAACAUCUCUACGUGUAGAGAUUUGACGGUACUGUAAGAAUAAGGAUCGGCUAACUCCG